rnacentral:lncRNA from 1 species
UGGGUCUAAAAAAAGUAGAGAGUAACCUGGGUAGUUUGUAUUUAUCUUGAGACUGUUUAUCUUUAUUAUUUGAAGUUUGUGUUUAUCUUCCCAUAGUUUGUAUUUAUUCCAUAGAAUUUGAUAUUUAUCCUCUUUUUUUUAUUGUUUAUCUUGGGUGGACCCUUGGAUCACUCAACUUUUGAUUCUUGAGUUUGUGUUUGUCUUGGAUACUUUCUGUUUAUCAUUUGAGUUUGUAUUUAUUAUCCAUAGUUUCUAUUUAUUAUACAGAGUUUAUGUUUAUUCUAGA